CUGAGACUCUGAAAUUUGUGUAUGUUGAAGCAACAACAUAAGUUGUGAAUAUUGAUCCUUGGUUAAACCAGGAAUCAAAGAUUCUAAUUCAGAGGACCCUUGAGUGCUAUCAGUAUUGUUUUGAGACCCAACAGAUUUCGGACACCCCUGCACCUCAACAUUUGCUGCAGUCCUCUUGCUCUUUGUAAAGUUGAAAUCUGGUAAGAGUCCAUGGAGUUUGUAGCACUUGUCAAUCAUAUGACCAGGUUUCUUACAAUAUCUACACACUAAGUUUGUCUUGUUGAGAUCAAAGCU
rnacentral:lncRNA from 1 species